AUUAAACAGGAGAAUCUUUUCAGCACUUCCUCCUUAUUUUUUUUCAGCAUUGCAUGUUUAAUAGUAGUUACAUUAACCAACACUUAACUGAUUCCCUUCUGCCCUUAUCUGAGUUUGCUUUGCAAUUUCUUUGUAUUUCAGUUGCGCCGGCCAGGUGCCUGCCCUGCUCUUAAAUAGAUGGUGAUCAGAGGAAGCAAAAAAAGUAAAGCAGGUGAAAGCACAAUUACUGCCUCUUCAUGAUAUGCACUGGUGCUCUCUACUACACUCCGCCUGAUCAUCCUAAACAACAAGCUUGGAGGAAGAGCUGUUUUGCCAUAGGACAGCUGCAACCCAAAAGAACUGGCAAGGGCUUUGGAAGUUUCUGCUAUGAAAGCACUGUUCCCAGGAAGAAGAGGAUGAGGACUUCUGAGAUGUCUCCUGUGACACGUAGCACCAGGAGAAGCCUUGUCAGUCUGAUAAAGGAUCGUGAGAGGUCAUCAGGUGGGAGGGAACUGAAAUAAUUCUGACCUUUUGAUAGAGGAAAGUUCUUGCACUUCAUGGACUGUCCAUGCAAUUUUUUCAGCUUUGGGGAUCUCUUCAUUAACCUCUUAAAUGUUCAUAGGCGAGCUCAAAGGAACAGCUUCUGUCUCCUGGGAUUUUGGCCCCUUGCUUUGCAGCUUCAAAUUAGCUGAUUAAAGGGGAUUGAGCUGAAUCCAAGCUGCACAUGCUCCCAUAGUAGUGAAAUACAGAGCGAAAUCUCCUGACAGAUUCUGACAACAGGAGCCACAGCAGCAAGAAAACAAACACACACUGUCUGGGACUUCAGGGGGUUUGUAUAUUCAGCCAAUUGAGACUUAUCAGCCCUCUUUUCACUAUAAUUCGCAGGGACAUGGGAAUGUUUCAGUUACACCAGCACUGCUAGGCAGUGAAUGACUGUGACUCCGGGAGCUGGGGCAGUUCCUGCUCGUAGCUGUGACUACACAAGCGUGGGGUGAAGCAGCCUGUCUGUACUCUGCCAGAGCCUACAAUUAAGCCUCUCAAGCCUGUUUAAAUGAUACCAAGGCACAGCUCCAGCGAGAGGUCGCUCCCUUUCACUACCCUAGUUUACGCUUGUUGUUGAUGACUUAAUAUCCCCCAUUUGAGCAUUUCACUCAGCAGAAGAAAGGUCAACAAGGGAAAGCAGAGUUCUUGGCUUGCACAUCUGCUAUACCAGGCUCUUUACGAAGUGUCCGACACUUGUGGAUCUUUACAUAUCUUACCCAGACUUCAUAUGUGAGUGCCUUUGUGAAGUACAUUUCAGAGCCUAUGAAGAUGACUAGUUUAUUCCCAGACUGAUGCUGGUGGGUUACAGGCCAGGCUUCACACGAAGGGUUGGUGGGGGUUUUGGGGGCGUUUGGUUGUUUUUUGGCUUUUUUGUGUGUGUGUUAUUUUAAGAGUCUAGUCAGCAGGAAAAAGGGCCAGAAAUAUAUCUCAGCAGAGAAAAGCCUCCAAAUCCCGUAUCCAAUUGGAGCCGCAGAAAGAAUGAAGGUUGGCAGAAUUUAUCUAAACUGGAGUUCAGCCAGGACCCUGGGCUCACCCCCCUCCUCCUGUGAAAGUGCCAUUGGAUAUUUGAUAGCUAUAUUGGGUCUAAUCACUGGAUUUUAUGUAUCCCCUGAAAGACUGGAGUUGCUGGAGCAGGAAACCCCCUUGGCUUCUUGCUGGAGCUAAGACUAUGUAGUAGCACCUACCAAAUCUUUCCUAGCCACAGCUUGCAGCACCUGAAUUUCUUUGGCAAUCCCUAUCCAGGUUCUGCCAGCUGAGAGCCUGCUUCUUCAUGUGUGGGAUCUGGCAGGAUCGCAGCCCAGAGACAGUACAUCUGCAGGCUCCGCUCGCAGCUUUGUCUUUAUUACUGCGAUGUGACCUCGGAUGACCAUGUACAGAAGGAAGGCUGCAAUAUUCCAGCUGUUAAAUCAAGCAAUUGUGGAUUUUGAUUCUUUGCUGAAAGGCAGUGGUAGGUCCCUGCAGUAAUAGCAUGAGCCAGAGCCAAGCCAGCGGGCAGCAGGCGGGCAUAGAUGAAAAGGGUGCUGAUUUAAAGAGGAGGAUGGCAGGCGGCGUUGGCUAUGCCGGAAAGCAGAGGAAGAUGCAUAGAGACUUUGAAAUUCUCUUUGUAAAGGAAAAAAAGAAAAGAAAACCGAUUUCUCAAAGGUUUGGCCGUGCCAAGCCUCAGCCUGCAUCCAAAAGAAAGCUGUGACACUGCUCACUGGACUUCAGCUGCAAACACAUUUCGUUUGCAUCAGUGGCUGGCCUGUUAGCAGGAUGGUUUCAAGGAGUCCCUGGAACACGGGCUGCAGUACCU